rnacentral:rRNA from 1 species
AGCAGCCGCGGUAAUUCCAGCUCCAAUAGCGUAUAUUAAAGUUGUUGCAGUUAAAAAGCUCGUAGUUGAAUUUCGGGAUCAAUACGUCGGUCGUGCCUUCGGUACGUACUGGUGUUGUUGAUUCCUCCCUUCUGAUGAGCCACGAUGUCAUUAACUUGGUGUCGCGGGGAGUCAGGACUGUUACUUUGAAAAAAUUAGAGUGUUUAAAGCAGGCAA